AACGAACGCUGGCGGCAGGCUUAACACAUGCAAGUCGAGCGCGCAGCAAUGCGAGCGGCAGACGGGUGAGUAACGCGUGGGAACCUACCCUUUUCUACGGAAUAACGCAUGGAAACGUGUGCUAAUACCGUAUACGCCCUUAGGGGGAAAGAUUUAUCGGAGAAGGAUGGGCCCGCGUUGGAUUAACUAGUUGGUGGGGUAAAGGCCUACCAAGGCGACGAUCCAUAGCUGGUCUGAGAGGAUGAUCAGCCACAUUGGGACUGAGACACGGCCCAAACUCCUACGGGAGGCAGCAGUGGGGAAUAUUGGACAAUGGGCGCAAGCCUGAUCCAGCCAUGCCGCGUGAGUGAUGAAGGCCCUAGGGUUGUAAAGCUCUUUCACCGGUGAAGAUAAUGACGGUAACCGGAGAAGAAGCCCCGGCUAACUUCGUGCCAGCCGCCGCAGUAACAC
rnacentral:rRNA from 1 species